UGCCUUGUAUAGCACUUUUUAACUUGUUAAGAAAAAGUGCUUUACAAAUACAUACAUUAUUAUAAUUGUAUAAAUUAGCUGUGCUAUAUCAGGUAACUGCAGACUGGUUGGGAAUCAUCAAGAUGACUAUUUUACAUGUAGAAAAAUGAAUAUUUUCACCAAAGACUGCUGGUGUUGCAGAGAUGUUUGAGUUUUUGGAUUUUUAUGCAUUUAUAGUCCAUUACUGGUCUUUUUCAGCAUCAGAUCCUGCUUUUUUUUAAGUUCAUCUCUAAGCUGCAGGAGAGGCUGAAGACCACAGCAAAUGACAGAGGUGAUGUUGAAAAUGUCCACACCAGUCCACAUGGGGGCUUCAGUGAGCCGUCAGAUCUUUCAUCAACCAGUUACUGAGGCCUGAAGGAAAAAAAAAAAAAUCAGCCAACAUGGUAAUAUGCACAGGAGAGGAAUGACUUAUUAUCUUCUGCCACUUGAGGGAGCGUCGGCUGCAGGAAUCUCCUCGUAGCAACAGUGAGGGAAGAACUGAUUUCAGCCAUUAGCGGGGUCAGGUGACUAAUUGCGGUAACUCAGUGCACCUGGGACCAGUGUACUGACGUAACUUAAGCCACAGCAGCUGUAGUCUCUCUCUGCCUUUCCCCCCCUACAGGCACCCGUUCUGGUUUGGUUUAGUUAUGUUGCCUUUUACUAUAUACACCCACGCACACCAUACACCACUGACGCUACUGAUAUCUACACCCCAUGCUUUAAUUAUAUAUAGUUACUUCAUUAAUUUGGCUUAAUUUGGUUUAAUAAAGCUUAUUUUGUUAAAUGUU